rnacentral:lncRNA from 1 species
AAUACAAUAUCCUGGGUUUACUCUUUUUUUGGUCCCUCAAUUUGUCUUUCAACAGUGACAUGAUAAGUUACAUUGUAGGUUUUUCCAAUGUCUAAUUUUUUGUAUUUUUAGUAGAGAUGGGGUUUCACCGUGUUAGUCAGGAUGGUCUCUAACUCCUGACCUCAUAAUCUGCCUGCCUCGGCCUCCCAAAGUGCUAGAGUUACAAGCGUGAGCCACUGCACCUGGCCAAAAAUAUUUUAAAAUAUAUAUUUGUGUGUAUAUUUAUGGGAUACAUGAGAUGUCGAUACAGAUGUGCAAUAUAUAAUUAUAUCAUG